rnacentral:rRNA from 1 species
GAGACAGCAGUCGCCACGGGAAUACGUAGGUGGCAAGCGUUGUCCGGAAUUACUGGGCGUAAAGCGCACGCAGGCGGUCUGUCAAGUCAGAUGUGAAAUCCCCGGGCUUAACCUGGGAACUGCAUUUGAAACUGGCAGGCUAGAGUCUUGUGGAGGGGGGUAGAAUUCCAGGUGUAGCGGUGAAAUGCGUAGAGAUCUGGAGGAAUACCGGUGGCGAAGGCGGCCCCCUGGACAAAGACUGACGCUCAGGUGCGAAAGCGUGGGGAGCAAACAGGAUUAGAUACCCGGGUAGUCCCUGUCUCUUAUAC